rnacentral:lncRNA from 1 species
AAUAAAACAUAUUAACUUACCUCUCGAUUCUGCCGUAAACUAGGUUUUUUUGAAAUAUUUUGAAUCAUUUCUUUAAGUUUAAAGAGAGAGACUAAUGACAUUUAAAUUAGAGUAGUACAACAAUCAAAGCUUAAGGGCAAUGUUGCAGAAACUAGUUCAACACAACUAAGAAUAUAGUAGUAGUGGAACAACAAAUACAAGUACUGAUAAAAUCAUAAUCAUACGUAUAACAGUAUUGGAACAACAAAUACAAAUACUCACAAAAUCAGAAUCAUAUAUAUAGCAGUGGUGGAAUAAUAAA